rnacentral:misc_RNA from 1 species
GAUGAAGAACGUAGCGAAAUGCGAUACGUAAUGUGAAUUGCAGAAUUCAGUGAAUCAUCGAAUCUUUGAACGCAUAUUGCGCUCUUUGGUAUUCCGAAGAGCAUGCUUGUUUGAGUAUCAGUAAACACCUCAAAGCUUUUGGAUUUUUUAAUCGAAAAGCUUUGGACUUGAGCAAUCCCAACACCAAUCUUUUUGAGAUCGGUGGCGGGUUGCUUGAAAUGCAGGUGCAGCUGGACAUUCUCGUGAGCUAAAAGCAUAUUCAUUUAGUCCCGUCAAACGGAUUAUUACUUUUGCUGCAGCUAACAUAAGGGGAGUUUGACCGUAUUGGCUGACUGAUGCAGGAUUUCACAAGGGUCGGCAACGAUUCUUGUUAAACUCGAUCUCAAAUCAAGUAAGACUACCCGCUGAACUUAAGCAUAUCAAUAAGCGGAGGA